rnacentral:rRNA from 1 species
AUGAGUUAUGCAUGCGUGCGCAUGUACCACUAUAUUCUCCUAAAGAUUAGGCUUGAGCAGGGAGUAGUAACUGUCUUGCACUCUAAACGAAAAGAUCCCCAGGAGUAUGCGGACAUGACUGAAAUCCUCAAGAAGGUUUGGAGAAAAUUCACCAGAAAAGCUCCCGGACUGCUGAAGGAGCUGCAAUUUAGACACCCGAAAUGGUUGUGGCAGGAACAAGGGAAUGAUUUCUGUGGAUAUUACGUCUGCGAGUCCAUCCGCCACACGACCUGUGAGCGGGGCGGGUACUCUGACGAACAAUAUGAAAUGUUUCGGAUGCGGAAUGAACUCCUUGCACCAGAUCGCAUGCGAGCAAUUCAAGAGGAAUGGGCGGCAUUUUUUCUUGACCACGUGAUCGUUGAAGACGGAGAAUACUAUGUGGACCAUGCGUCCGUAAUUUAG